ensembl:lncRNA
GAAAAGGCCCUCUCUUGCCAGGCACAGUGAUGCACACCUAUAAUCCCAGCACUCGGGAGGCUGAGGCAGGAGGACUGCCGAAAGUUCAAGGCCAGCCUGGGCUACAUGGAUUUGUUCUUGUUUGCUAUAACAAACACCGCGGGAGCCGACCAACAAACCUGUCUCUUCAGAAGAGCCUGGAGUGGCUAGGAGAAAUGGACACCUGGGCAGCUGGACAUUGGGGAAUUUUCUCUUUAAACAAAUCACCUCAAUUUUGCAGUUAUUUGUAUGUGAUACCAACGAACACACAGGAGUGAACACACUUACCUGGAUUACAAGUCUAUGCAGGUAUGUGGAGCUGUCAAAAUUUUACAACCAGGCACACAUGGUGGCACACACCUGUAAUCCCAGCACACUAGGAGGCUGAGGCAGGAGGACUGCACAUUUGAAGCCAGCCUGGGCUACAGAGCGAGUUCAAGGCUGGCCUGAGCUAUACAAUAAGGCUCUGUCUCAAAAAAUAAAACCAGAAGCCAGACGUGGUGGCACACAUCUGUCAUCCCAGCACUCAGGAGGCUGAGGCAGAAAGAUCACUGUGGGUUGGAGGCCGGCUUGGAAUACGAAGUGAGACCUGUGUCAAAAACCAAAACAAAAAACAAAAAACAAAAACAGAGGAAGAAAUUUACA